CCUACGGGUGGCAGCAGUGGGGAAUAUUGGGCAAUGGGCGCAAGCCUGACCCAGCAACGCCGCGUGAAGGAAGAAGGCUUUCGGGUUGUAAACUUCUUUUCUCAGGGACGAAGAAAGUGACGGUACCUGAGGAAUAAGCCACGGCUAACUACGUGCCAACAGCCGCGUUAAUACGUAGGUGGCAAGCUUUAUCCGGAUUUAUUGGGUGUAAAGAGCGUGAAGGCGGGAGUGCAAGUCAGAUGGGAAAACUCCGGGCUCAACCCUGGGACUGCAUUUGAAACUGGGUGUCUUGAGUGCUGGAGAGGCGAUCGGAAUUCCGGGUGUAGCGGUGAAAUGCGUAGAUAUCCGGAGGAACACCAGUGGCGAAGGCGGAUUGCUGGACAGUAACUGACGCUGAGGUGCGAAAGCGUGGGGAGCAAACAGGAUUAGAUACCCGAGUAGUC
rnacentral:rRNA from 1 species